GUUUGACCACCGGGGGCGUAUUCAAUGCCAACUAUAUUGUUUUGUGUAUAUAAGGUGGAGAUGCACCGGACAGGACAUAUUCAGUUGCGUGUGGUUGACAAGUGUUGAUCGUCCAAUAUGAGGCUUCUAAUUGCUCUAGCUCUGUGCUGUCUGGCUGGCGUCGCACGCGCCGGCUACAGCCAUGGUUGGUCAUCUCCAGUAAUCUCCAGUGGGUGGUCGUCGGGAUGGGCACCGCGAGCGUACGUCCGCCCGGUGGUAUAUAGCUCCUACUCCAGUGGUUGGGCCAGGCCAAGGUAUACUGGCUGGUCUUCAGGUUGGCCCAGGUCCCGCAGCUACUCUGGCUGGACCGGCAGCAACGGCGGAUGGGCUGGUAACAGCGGAGGAUGGUGGUAAACUGAUCUAACAAACAACGGACCGGCUUGAAUACUGAUUGCGAUUCCUAAUGUUGAAUGAAAGUUUUUUGUACAAUUAUGAUGUGCAAUAGUGUGUAAAAUACAUUUUAUUUUUACUUUA